rnacentral:lncRNA from 1 species
GCUGUCCUCUCCUCCAGCCUGCAACAACAACCCUAAAAUGCACAAGCGCUCCGUCUCCGUGACGUCCAUUACCUCCACAGUGCUGCCUCCUGUUUACAAUCAGCAGAAUGAAGACACCUGCAUCAUCCGCAUCAGCGUAGAGGACAACAACGGCAACAUGUACAAGAGCAUCAUGUUGACGAGCCAAGAUAAGACCCCCGCUGUGAUCCAGAGAGCGAUGUCAAAGCACAAUCUGGAGUCGGACCCAGCCGAGGAGUAUGAACUGGUACAAGUCAUCUCGGAGGACAAAGAGCUGGUGAUCCCAGACUCUGCAAAUGUCUUUUAUGCCAUGAAUAGCCAAGUGAACUUUGAUUUCAUUUUACGCAAAAAGAGCUCGGUGGAGGAGCAGGUGAAGAUGCGCAGUCGGACCAGCCUGACGAUGCCCAGGACAGCUAAGCGGGGCUGCUGGAGUAACAGACACAGCAAGGUCACCCUCUGAAGGGACAGGGCGAAGCUGAGCACAGCCGUGGUGAUGCCAACCACCCAGGGUUGAGGAUCAUUGCUGAAAGCGCCAGAUACUUAUGGAGCUCAGCUGUGUAGAGAGCACUGCGUGGGGAGAGUGGAAGUGAAUUUAACAUCAAAAGGAUAAAUGGUUCACUGACGCUCUCAGGCCUGAGAGUGAAUACAAAAUGGUUCAUAUUUUAAAAUAUAUAUAUAUACACACACAUAUCGUGUGUGUGUGUGUGUGUGCGUGCGCGUGCGUGCGUGCGUGCGUGCGUGCGUGUGUGUGUGUGUGUGUGUGUGUGUGUGUGUGUGUGUGUGGAUAUACCAGAGGGACUAUACAGGAUAUUUUGGACUAUGGAAAAACCAAUUUGCACAAUGGCCUGGGAAGUUGAGGUCACUUUUUACAGGGAAACAGAAGGGACUGAGCACCUGAUCUCACACCUUCCAAGUAAAUAGAAUCAGACCUGCCAAUACCAAGUGUUCUUCAUGCCAGUAUUACAAGCCCAAGCUCUGAUUUUGUAAAGGGACGAGAGGAUUACUUUCUCAGUCACGUGCCACCAGAUGACCAAACUGCAGAGGUUGGAGUGGCCACAGGCUGCAUGAAAGGCCACCAUGGAAAGGUUCGGAUGAGUCAGUGGUCUCUGCCCUCUGCUGGCGUCUGCUGGAGCUUCAGAGGCCUGCGUGCCUUGCUGGUCCCCAUAACAAUGCUCCAGGGGUCAACACACGCUUGUUUCAAUUCCUGGAAACCCUGUUGUGUUUCUGCCUUCUCUCCUAAAGAACAUACCACAGUCAUUACCGCAUAAGUAGCCUCCGUCUUCUGUGACAUUUCAGCCAGAGAAGAAAGCGCAGAAGAACAGCGGCUCCUCUGGACUCUUCUCCGUCUUGGACCACUCGGCCGCCCUCUGAUGGCCCUUUGCAUGUAAAAGCGUAGUCUGGUCUUUUGCCAUCUGGAACCCCGUACCCCUCUCUUAUGUGCAAUCCGUUCCUCAGGUGUAGACAUUUCUACUGCAGUUGGCUACAUGCAAUCAUUCCGAGCCUGUAAAAGAUUUCUGAGCAGCGGCCUCUCUGUUAAUGACCCCUCAGAAAAUGUCCCCGUUGACUAAUGGUGGCUAAUUUCCACCUUCACUUUUGUAGCAUCCUGUGCUCCAGUCACAGGGAGAGAAAGGGGACUGCGGUGCUGUCUCCGCCCUUUCUCAGAGAGGCGCACCCGUGUAGAUGGGAACAAUAGUGCUCUUCCUUUCUCCCCCCACACUUGCUCUCCCAGCCACACUGGUAGGUGAUGGGUUUUGUUUGUAGUAAUCACAGCACCAUACUCGUGCUUCCGGUCUGAGCUAUGCUGGGAUCUGGAUGAAAAAGCCAUAUGUGACGGAGCUGACAUGUAUAAGAAGCACUUUCAAAUUAUUGUCCCUUUUUAAUUUUUUCUCCAAAUGCCAGUUUUUAUUCCAAAAAUAAAGAGAAUCAACCCAGAAUAUGAUGUCCAGAUUGUAACAGGGAGUUUCUUUUCUAACCCUGUACUAUAGCUCCCCAAGAUGAUGUAGGGGUUGUGUUCUGUAAAUAGCUGUAUGAACUCAACAAGAAACACCGGGAAAAGCUCAGAUGCGUGGCAGUGGACCAAAGCGAGGGCCAGGAAGUCAUGAUUCCCUUGUCUUGCACAUUCUGACACCAGAUGGACCCUGGUGUUUCUCGGAGACUGGCCUGGAGCGUGGAGACCAGCUAGCUUUCAGCUGGUCAUCAGAAGGCACCUUCUGUUGUUUGUGAGCCUUCUUUGGUUAGUGCUUCUGAGCACAGAGGGGAAAUGGCAAGGACUGCAGCCAUCAGGAAGCUGAGGUAAACCUAGCCUCAGCCUGGCUUUCUCAGUGUCAGGGAAUCAGUGCAGAGCUACUGCCCUGGUUUGGGUGUGACUCACAAGACAUACGUGUUAUGACCAUGUGCUCACCCUGUGUAAUUAUACUGUAUAUGUAGAGCCUAGAUUUAUAUACUGCAAUGUAAAAAAAAAAAUAUAUAUAUAUAUAUAUAUAUUUACCUUUUUACAAAAAGACAAUGGAAAUCCCAAGUGGGGUAAAACAUGGCCUCCUUUAUUUAAUGCCACUUCAGUUGUUUUAAUUUUGCUUCUGGGUAAACAGCUGGGUUUUGUUUCCAGCUGCUCGCACGCUUGUCCUUGUGCAUCUCCAGCAUCUGUUUACCUUUUGGUUAAACUAAUAAACCGGUUUGGGACUUGGUUGACAUGUGCUGCCAGACCCAAGGGCUUGUAUCUGGAGUGUGAAUCAGAGGGGGUCCGGGCUCCAGGUUUGCCAGCGUUCAGAGGCCCUUUCUGAACCAGCUGGACAGAACAGAGGGACAGCAAGGGGCAGACAGCUGUCUCCCUGGCAGGGACUACAGGCUUAGAGGGAAGAGGUAGGUCCCCAGGACAGACCAGCGGUGUGUGCCUUGCUCACUUGUCUUUCCCAGGAGCCGUGCAAUGGGGCUGCCUUUUGUAAGCGUGAGCCUGGGCUGAGGACUCCAGGCAGUCCUUGUUAGCUCCCCGAGAGCCUUUC